rnacentral:rRNA from 1 species
AACGAACGCUGGCGGCAUGCCUAACACAUGCAAGUCGAACGAGACCUUCGGGGCUAGUGGCGCACGGGUGCGUAACGCGUGGGAACCUGCCGUUAGGUUCGGAAUAACUCAGAGAAAUUUGAGCUAAUACCGGAUGAUGUCUUCGGACCAAAGAUUUAUCGCCUUUAGAUGGGCCCGCGUUGGAUUAGCUAGUGGGUGAGGUAAAGGCCUACCAAGGCGACGAUCCAUAGGUGGUCUGAGAGGAUGAUCAGCCACACUGGGACUGAGACACGGCCCAACCUCCUACGCGAGGCAGGAGUAGGGACUAUUGCACCAUCGGCGAAAGCCUGGUGCAGCAAUGCCUCGUGAGUGAUAAAGGUCUUAGGGUUGUAAAGCUCUUUUACCCGAGAAGAUAAUGACAGUAGCGGGACAAUAAGCUCCGGCUAACUCCGUG